GAUGAAGAACGCAGCGAAAUGCGAUACUUGGUGUGAAUUGCAGAAUCCCGUGAACCAUCGAGUCUUUGAACGCAAGUUGCGCCCGAAGCCAUCAGGUUGAGGGCACGUCUGCCUGGGCGUCACAUAUCGUUGCCCAAUGCCUAUUGCAGUGCAAUAGGAAUUUCUAGGGCGAAUGAUGGCUUCCCGUGAGCGUUGUUGCCUCGCGGUUGGUUGAAAAUCGAGUCCUUGGUAGGGUGUGCCAUGGUAGAUGGUGGUCGAGUUAGAACGAUACCGAUCAUGUGCAUGCUCCCCAAAAUAUGGCCUCUAUGACCCACACGCGUCUUUUGACGCUCAUGACGAGACCUCAGGUCAGGGGGGCUACCCGCUGAAUUUAAGCAUAUCAAUAAGCGGAGGA
rnacentral:misc_RNA from 1 species